CCACCCAUACACUGUAUCAGGUGCUCCUUACUAUCACCCAUACACUGUAUCAGGUGCUCCUUACUAUCACCCAUACACUGUAUCAGGUGCUCCUUACUAUCACCCAUACACUGUAUCAGGUGCUCCUUACUAUCACCCAUACACUGUAUCAGGUGCUCCUUACUAUCACCCAUACACUGUA